GAUGAACGCUAGCGGCAGGCCUAAUACAUGCAAGCCGAACGGCAAGAUUGAUAGCAAUAUUGAUCCUAGAGUGGCGUAAGGGUGCGUAACACGUAUGCAAUCUACCCUCAACAGGAGGAUAGCUCCCCGAAAGGGGAAUUAAGACUCCAUAAGAUCAUUUGGUGGCAUCAUUGAAUGAUUAAACUUCCAGGGGUUGAGGAUGAGCAUGCGCCNGAUUAGUUAGUUGGCGGGGUAAGGCCCACCAAGACGAUGAUCAGUAGGGGAACUGAGAGGUUGA
rnacentral:rRNA from 1 species